AUUGAACGCUGGUGGCAUGCUUUACACAUGCAAGUCGAACGGCAGCGCGGGCUUCGGCCUGGCGGCGAGUGGCGAACGGGUGAGUAAUACAUCGGAACGUGCCCAGUAGUGGGGGAUAGCUCGGCGAAAGCCGGAUUAAUACCGCAUACGACCUGAGGGUGAAAGCGGGGGAUCUUCGGACCUCGCGCUAUUGGAGCGGCCGAUGGCAGAUUAGCUAGUUGGUGGGGUAAAGGCCUACCAAGGCGACGAUCUGUAGCUGGUCUGAGAGGACGACCAGCCACACUGGGACUGAGACACGGCCCAGACUCCUACGGGAGGCAGCAGUGGGGAAUUUUGGACAAUGGGCGAAAGCCUGAUCCAGCAAUGCCGCGUGUGUGAUGAAGGCCUUCGGGUUGUAAAGCACUUUUGGCGGGAACGAAAAGGACUGUGCCAAUACCACGGUUCGAUGACGGUACCCGCAGAAUAAGCACCGGCUAACUACGUG
rnacentral:rRNA from 1 species